rnacentral:tRNA from 1 species
GGAGUCAUACUCAAGUCUGGUUGAAGAGAUCUGCCUUGAAAACAGAGAGGUCGGUAACACCGACGCGAAGGUUCGAAUCCUUCUGGCUCCGCCA